ACAAAAAUAUCGGAUGGGUUGAUAUGGAAAUGUUUGGUACAUGAAGCCACAAUCUGAUAGAUAUACAUCUAAAUAGGUAAAUCGUAUUCUUAUAUAGUAUAUAGAUAGAAAUUAAAAUGAAUUAAAUUUCAAAUUUAUUUAUUAAUUUAAUUAAAUUAUAUAAAAUUAUAUAGAUUAAAAUGAAUCUUGGUUUGGAAUCAAAGAAAGAUAUUAAAAAAUCUUUUAUGUU
rnacentral:tRNA from 1 species